AGUAAUAUCUUAAUCAUCUUAGUAUCUGGAAGACAACAGUUUUGGCCUUGAAGACCCCCACCCACCACUGGGUCUAGGGACCUCCCAGGAGUCCUCAUGCCACAUUUUGAGAAUCACAGCUCUGCACAAUCUUCAGGGAUCAAUGACACCUACAUCUAGGCCGUGGUGAAAUGAGAAGUAACGGAGUCCCAGCAGUAAUGCGGCACUUGGCUGUCCCCUGGCUUCGGUAGACACUCCUUCGCCAGAAUGCUUCCUUCCAUGCGCAGAGGGGUCUUCCGUCUGUAACCCCUGACCUCUCUCUGCGCCUAUGCCCUCUUCUCUUCCCCAGGAAGAUGUGUGACCUAUCUCAUUGGUAAAUUUGGGGUGAUAAAACUGAGGCUGUCUCUGGAAGAGCACA
rnacentral:lncRNA from 1 species